CAAGAUUACACACUGGAAUUGUAUUUUCUAGUGAUUGGAAUGAUGGGAAUCCAAACCCCUUUCAGAGUAACAAUUGGAGGGCAAGUCUGGUGCCAGCAGCCGCGGUAAUUCCAGCUCCAAUAGCGUAUAUAAAAGUUGUUGCAGUUAAAAAGCUCGUAGUUGGAUAUCUGCUGGAAGCAAUGAGUCCGCCCUUUUCAUAAGGGUGUGCACUUGAUGAAUUCUGGCAUGAUUUCAUCCUUAUAUUAUGUGUCGGAUUAUUUUAGGUUGAUUCCUAAUAUUGUUGCAUCAUAUUUGUUGGGAUGACGACUGUUACGUUAAAACAAUUGUGGUGUUAGAAUCUUGUUUUUGUUGCCAUUACUACAGCAUAAAGUAACUUAUAUGAAAUCAGGCUGUACUUCUUGUUGGCUUUUCUUAUGUAAUAAUUAGAAGGACGUUUGGGUAGAGGUCCAUCUUUUAGUCUUGUAUGAGGUGAUGUCUUGUUGUGACUAGAUAUUGGGGAGGCCCUGGCAAUAGAUGUGCUCAUUAUCACUUUAACAUGAUCCUCAGUGAUCGGCUCGGAUUCGAUAACGACCCGUCCUCGUCCUUAUCCUAUCCCUAGACUAUAUCGAGAAGUGUUAUUGGUCGAAAAUCUCGUUG
rnacentral:rRNA from 1 species